rnacentral:rRNA from 1 species
ACAUGUUGGGAACUUUCCAGAGAUGGAUUGGUGCCUUCGGGAACCCAAACACAGGUGCUGCAUGGCCGUCGUCAGCUCGUGUCGUGAGAUGUUGGGUUAAGUCCCGUAACGAGCGCAACCCUUAUCCCUAGUUGCCAGCGCAUAAUGGCGGGAACUCUAGGGAGACUGCCGGUGACAAACCGGAGGAAGGUGGGGAUGACGUCAGGUCAUCAUGGCCCUUACGGCCAGGGCUACACACGUGCUACAAUGGCGCGCACAGAGGGCUGCAAACCCGCGAGGGGGAGCUAAUCUCACAAAACGCGUCGUAGUCCGGAUCGCAGUCUGCAACUCGACUGCAUGAAGUUGGAAUCGCUAGUAAUCGCGGAUCAGCAUGUCGCGGUGAAUACGUUCCCGGGUCUUGUACACACCGCCCGUCACACCAUGGGAGCGGGUUUUACCAGAAGUAGGUAGCUUAACCGCAAGGAGGGCGCUUACCACGGUAGGAUUCGUGACUGUGGGAAAGUCGUAACAAGGUAACC